rnacentral:misc_RNA from 2 species
AACGCACAUUGCGCCUCCUGGUAUUCCGGGAGGCAUGCCUGUUCGAGCGUCAUUAAAAACCACUCAAGCUCUUUUGCUUGGUAUUGGAAGAUGAGUAUGCUUUGUUAUACUCACUUUCGAAAUUCAAAGGCGUAGAGCCCCACGUGCCACGGCGUAGUAAGUUUUCUUUCGCUUGGAAUGUGAGGUGAUAUUGCCACAAACCCCCAAUUUUUCUAGGUUGACCUCGGAUCAGGUAGGGAUACCCGCUGAACUUAA